GGAGGUGUGCCAGAGUGGACGAAUGGGAUGGUCCUGAAAACCAUUAGACCCUCACGGGUCUCAGAGGUUCGAAUCCUCUCGCCUCCGCCA
rnacentral:tRNA from 1 species